rnacentral:rRNA from 1 species
UGGGGAAUCUUCCGCAAUGGACGAAAGUCUGACGGAGCAACGCCGCGUGUAUGAUGAAGGUCUUCGGAUUGUAAAGUACUGUCAUUGGGGAAGAACGGUUUUCUUGAAAAGAUUGAGAAGACAUGACGGUACCCAAGGAGGAAGCCCCGGCUAACUACGUGCCAGCAGCCGCGGUAAUACGUAGGGGGCAAGCGUUGUCCGGAAUUAUUGGGCGUAAAGGGCGCGUAGGCGGCCUUUAAGUCCGGUGUGAAAGAUCAGGGCUCAACCCUGAGAGUGCAUCGGAAACUGGAGGCCUUGAGGACAGGAGAGGAAAGUGGAAUUCCACGUGUAGCGGUGAAAUGCGUAGAUAUGUGGAGGAACACCAGUGGCGAAGGCGACUUUCUGGACUGUAACUGACGCUGAGGCGCGAAAGCGUGGGGAGCAAACAGGAUUAGAUACCCUGGUAGUCCACGCCGUAAACGAUGAGUGCUAGGUGUAGAGGGUAUCGACCCCCUUCUGUGCCGCAGUUAACACAAUAAGGCACUCCCCGCCUGGGGAGGUACGGCCNCAAGGUUG